UAUAUUGGACACCUUGCCUGGAAAACAGAGAAAAUCACUUUGUUUCUUCCUUAUAAAGAUAAAAAUUCCACCUUUGAUCAUCAACAUCUCAAUCCACCUAUAACUAAAUAACGCAGCAUAUACAUAUAUGAGCUACUUGAAGUUGAAGGUGAUGAUCACUAGCCAUUUCUCUUAGCAUUAGUGCCACCCCCCACAUGUCUAAACCCCCACUAGGGUUUGGCUUUGGGUUGGUGGGAGGUGGCGCUAUAAGCUCUAAACAAAAAAUUUGGGAGAGUAAAAGACAAUUAGUCUCCCACAGGGCAACCUCAAUCCUUUGGCAUUUUCAACUUAUGUAUCGGUGAUAUUCUCUUCCUUCUCUUAGAUUGGUAGCUUCAUGACUUGACAUGGAGUUCCAAGAUUUUGAAGGUAUUAAUUAUUGAUAGAUCAUCUUGAGAGC
rnacentral:lncRNA from 1 species